UAAUAAGUGUUUUAUGGCACUUUUUAAAUCCAUAUCCACCUUGUGUGCAAUGUCAGUCGAUCUUCUUCAUGGAGAUCGACCAAACAUCAACCUUUAUCUUUUAACUCUUUGUCUGAAAAAUAUUAUGAAUAAACAAUUCAAAAAUA
rnacentral:misc_RNA from 1 species